AGCGAACGCUGGCGGCAGGCUUAACACAUGCAAGUCGAGCGGGCACUUUCGGGUGUCAGCGGCGGACGGGUGAGUAACGCGUGGGAACGUGCCCUCUGGUUCGGAAUAACUCAGGGAAACUUGAGCUAAUACCGGAUACGCCCUUUUGGGGAAAGGCUUGCUGCCGGAGGACCGGCCCGCGUCUGAUUAGCUAGUUGGUGAGGUAACGGCUCACCAAGGCGACGAUCAGUAGCUGGUCUGAGAGGAUGAUCAGCCACACUGGGACUGAGACACGGCCCAGACUCCUACGGGAGGCAGCAGUGGGGAAUAUUGGACAAUGGGCGCAAGCCUGAUCCAGCCAUGCCGCGUGAGUGAUGAAGGCCUUAGGGUUGUAAAGCUCUUUUAUCCGGGACGAUAAUGACGGUACCGGAGGAAUAAGCCCCGGCUAACUUCGUG
rnacentral:rRNA from 1 species